GACGAACGCUGGCGGCGUGCCUAAUACAUGCAAGUAGAACGCUGAAGGAGGAGCUUGCUCUUCUGGAUGAGUUGCGAACGGGUGAGUAACGCGUAGGUAACCUGCCUGGUAGCGGGGGAUAACUAUUGGAAACGAUAGCUAAUACCGCAUAACAGUAGAUGUUGCAUGACAUUUGCUUAAAAGGUGCACUUGCUCCACUACCAGAUGCACCUGCGUUGUAUUAGCUAGUUCGUGGGGUAACGGCUCACCAAGGCGACGAUACCUAGCAGACCUGAAAGGGUGAGAGGCAAAGCUGGGAUUAGAACACGACCAGGAAUACUAGGGAAGGAAGAAGGAGGAAAUUUUUGGGAAAGGAAGGAAGGGGGAACAAGGAACGCCGCGUGAGUGAAGAAGGUUGUAGGGUCGUAAAACUGAGGAAGAAGAGAGGAACGAAAAGGAGUGUGAAAAGUGAAGAUAGUGACAGUACCGGAAGAAAAAGGGACGGCUAACUACGUG
rnacentral:rRNA from 1 species